UGACCGGAUCAGACGAUCGCGGAUGCAAUGCCUAAAGGCUGCAGAUGAGGAAAGUCCGGGCUCCGAAGGGCAGGAUGCCGGCUAAUUACCGGUGAAGGUGACUUCAAGGAAAGUGCAACAGAGAGAUACCGCCGUAGCAAUACGGUAAGGGUGGAAAGGCGAGGUAAGAGCUCACCAGCGAUAUGGUAACAUAUCAGGCUAUGUAAACCCCAUCCGGAGCAACACCGCAAAAAGGGACUAUGGGUUGCCCGCCCGUCUCUGAAGGUGGCUUGAGUAUGAUAGAGAUAUUGUGCCUAGACAGAUGAUCGUCUAAUACAGAACCCGGCUUACAGAUCCGGUAAGGAA
rnacentral:RNase_P_RNA from 1 species